rnacentral:tRNA from 1 species
UAGAUUGAAGCCAGAGAUUAGGGUGUUUAGCUGUUAACUAAAGUUUUGUAGGUUUAAGUCCUACCAAUCUAG